rnacentral:rRNA from 1 species
GAUGAACGCUGGCGGCGUGCCUAAUACAUGCGAGUCGAGCGAACAGAUGAGGAGCUUGCUCCUCUGACGUUAGCGGCGGACGGGUGAGUAACACGUGGAUAACCUACCUAUAAGACUGGGAUAACUUCGGGAAACCGGAGCUAAUACCGGAUAAUAUAUUGAACCGCAUGGUUCAAUAGUGAAAGACGGUUUUGCUGUCACUUAUAGAUGGAUCCGCGCCGCAUUAGCUAGUUGGUAAGGUAACGGCUUACCAAGGCAACGAUGCGUAGCCGACCUGAGAGGGUGAUCGGCCACACUGGAACUGAGACACGGUCCAGACUCCUACGGGAGGCAGCAGUAGGGAAUCUUCCGCAAUGGGCGAAAGCCUGACGGAGCAACGCCGCGUGAGUGAUGAAGGUCUUCGGAUCGUAAAACUCUGUUAUUGGGGAAGAACAAAUGUGUAAGUAACUAUGCACGUCUUGACGGUACCUAAUCAGAAAGCCACGGCUAACUACGUG